AGAUAAGUAUUUUUAGGUAAGAAGUUGCGUCCUAACUCAUAAUCGCUUGGUCGUUGGUUCAAACCCAACAGGGGCCACCA
rnacentral:tRNA from 3 species